UACGGAGGGUGCAAGCGUUAUCCGGAUUUACUGGGUUUAAAGGGUGCGUAGGUGGGCUGGUAAGUCAGUGGUGAAAUCUCCGGGCUUAACUCGGAAACUGCCAUUGAUACUAUCAGUCUUGAAUACCGUGGAGGUCAGUAGAAUAUGUCAUGUAGCGGUGAAAUGCUUAGAUAUGACAUAGAAUACCAAUUGCGAAGGCAGCUGGCUACACGAAUAUUGACACUCAGGCACGAAAGCGUGGGGAUCAAACAGG
rnacentral:rRNA from 1 species